rnacentral:rRNA from 1 species
AGAGUUCGAUCAUGGCUCAGGAUGAACGCUAGCGACAGGCUUAACACAUGCAAGUCGAGGGGCAGCAUUAUUUGUAGCAAUACAAAUAGAUGGCGACCGGCGCACGGGUGAGUAACGCGUAUGCAACCUACCUAUCAGAGGGGGAUAACCCGGCGAAAGUCGGACUAAUACCGCAUAAAACAGGGGUCCCGCAUGGGAAUAUUUGUUAAAGAUUAAUUGCUGAUAGAUGGGCAUGCGUUCCAUUAGAUAGUUGGUGAGGUAACGGCUCACCAAGUCUGCGAUGGAUAGGGGUUCUGAGAGGAAGGUCCCCCACACUGGUACUGAGACACGGACCAG